rnacentral:tRNA from 1 species
CUCUGAGCUGGACGAGGACGGUCGGUUGUUCUUGCAGGGCGCCCAACGGCCCGAGUUCCAAGCCCGGAUCAAGGC